rnacentral:rRNA from 1 species
CAGCAGCCGCGGGAAUACGUAGGGUGCAAGCGUUAAUCGGAAUUACUGGGCGUAAAGCGUGCGCAGGCGGUUAUAUAAGACAGAUGUGAAAUCCCCGGGCUCAACCUGGGAACUGCAUUUGUGACUGUAUAGCUAGAGUACGGCAGAGGGGGAUGGAAUUCCGCGUGUAGCAGUGAAAUGCGUAGAUAUGCGGAGGAACACCGAUGGCGAAGGCAAUCCCCUGGGCCUGUACUGACGCUCAUGCACGAAAGCGUGGGGAGCAAACAGGAUUAGAUACUCCCGUAGUCCCUGUCUCUUAUAC